UACGUAGGGGGCAAGCGUUGUCCGGAAUUAUUGGGCGUAAAGAGCUCGUAGGCGGUCUGUUGCGUCUGCUGUGAAAACUCGGGGCUUAACCCCGAGCCUGCAGUGGAUACGGGCAGACUAGAGGUAGGUAGGGGAGAAUGGAAUUCCCGGUGUAGCGGUGAAAUGCGCAGAUAUCGGGAGGAACACCGGUGGCGAAGGCGGUUCUCUGGGCCUUACCUGACGCUGAGGAGCGAAAGCGUGGGGAGCAAACAGG
rnacentral:rRNA from 1 species